CAAAUGACCCAGCAUCGACAUCCACUACUUGUCUCCACUUACAGCUUAUUGGUACAAAGGGUCCGCCACAUAGUAGCCAGUGGUUUCAAUUUCCAUGUUCCUUCCAAAACCCAAGUCUAGUGUCUUGAAACAAUUGUUCUUUGUCACUUUUCAAAAUCCAAUCCUUUCCCGUACUAAUCACCUCUACCAAAAGCUACCUCAACAGUACACACAAACCUGCAAUUAUGUGGAUGUGUACAUGAAAUGGAAGAAGGAUUCAUACUUUGAGUCGAUAGAGCACAUACACAAGUCCAAGGAGCUCAAACCCAUCCUUUCUUUGAAAGAUUUCAUAGCCCAAAACCCAAAUGGUUGUAUCCCAAUCUCUGAUGUAUCAAAAAGAGGACUGCAAUUUGAUGUGAAGAUCAAGGUUGCUAGGUUUUUGAGACAAUAUCCCUCAAUCUUUGAGGAGUUUGUUGGUCCAAAAUAUAAUUUGCCUUGGUUUAGAUUGACGGAAGAAGCUGCUGCAAUUAAUAGAGAAGAGAACAAGGUGCUUGAGGAGUAUAAAGAGGAUUUGAAAGAGAGAUUGAAGAAGUUUAUAUUAAUGAGUAAGGAGAAGGUAUUGCCUUUCAAGAUUAUUAAAGGCAUGUUAUGGUAUUUGGGUUUACCGGAAGAUUUUUUGCAGCAUCAAGAUAAGAAUUUUGACAGUUCUUUUAGAGUUGUGGAGUUGGAGGUUGGAUCAAAGGGAUUGGGUGUUGAAAGUACCAAAAAGAUUUUGUCAGUAUUGCAGAAAAAUGCAAUGAGGAAAGGGUUAUAUUAUGGAGAGCCAAUGGAGGCAAUUGAAUUUCCCCUUUUCCCAUCAAAGGGUUUGAGGUUGAGGAGAAAGAUUCAGGAUUGGUUGAAAGAGUUCCAAAAACUUCCUUAUGUAUCACCCUAUGAAGAUAAUUCACAUUUAGAUCCUAACAGUGAUAUUGGAGAGAAAAGAGUUGUGGGUUUGCUUCACGAAUUGCUUUCUUUGUUUGUUGAGCAUUCAGUAGAAAGGAAGAAGCUUUUGUGCCUUAAGAAGUAUUUUGAGUUGCCCCAGAAGGUGCAUAAGGCAUUUGAAAGGCAUCCCCACAUGUUUUACUUGUCUUUCAGGAACAAGACUUGCACAACAAUUCUUAAGGAGGCAUAUGGUGAUGAUGAACUGGCUAUGGAGAGGCAUCCAAUGGCGAUGAUCAGGAAGAAGUACAUUAAGUUGAUGAAGGAAUCAGAGGUGAUUUUGAAGAGGAGAAGAGCAAACAAUCCAUUUCUUGAAUAUAAGAAGUUGGAUUUUGAAAUGGAUUCUGUCAAUGAAAAAAGAAGAGAAGAGGAGAAACAGUAGGGUUUCAGGCAGACUGGUAGAGACUAAUUAGAGUCCGACAAAUUGGAACUAAGGAGGGAGAGGAUGAUAAAAGUGCAUGAGCUUUUUCAUGAGACAGGCUCCAGAGUUUGUCAUAGUUAUGAUUCCCAGGGUUGGCAGGAAACCUUUUUUUUUCUUAUUUCAUUAAUGAAAGUACUCGUGCAAACUGCUUUGCUUGCAAAAAUGGGGUAGGAUAUCCAGGCUAGAUGCACUUUUACAACUGCAAUAUCCACAUUUGCAAUGAAGAGAAGGGUAUGGAUCAGGUGCGCGCCCUUUAAAUGGUACAAAAUGAUUCUGAACUCACCAGCUUGACAUCGAUACAGGCACCCCUAGUCAAUGUAGAGAUCAGAGGAGUGCCAGCACUUAAAUUUUUGGGAGACAUCAUAUGGAAAUGAGCUCUGAAGAGCAAUAUCAGAAAUGCAGAGAGCCUCCAUCUUUGUGGUAGGCUUGCAUACACUUGGAGGAGCAGCUAAGUUACCAAACAAAAUAGGAAUAGUCAUUCAUUGGCAAACAAGAUAGUUCCAUUACAGCUUUUAACAAAAUUUACAUAAGAAGAAACCAUUUCGUUGAGUGGCAAUUACAGGAUACAGAAGAUGAAGCCCCUAAUAAUCAAGAAGCCAUAUAGGGAAGGUAACGGUUGCAUGUUAAGUUUUUCCAUAUUAACAUGGUUCUUGUUUGCAUAUACAUGAAGUUUGUAUUUGUUCUUUUCAAGUCAGUUAGAUUUCUCAUGUAAUAGUUCCAUUUUUUAAAGUUUGUACUACAAAUUAAUAUAGUAUCAUAUAAGGAGCGGUUAGCCAUUGCACAGUUAAAUGAACAGUUCAAUUGAAUUGAUUUUGGCUGAGAGAA